ACCAGAAAUUAUGGUGCUACAAAAAUACCUGCUUAUCUUAGAGCCAAAACAUUUCAAUUUUAAAAAAUGGCCUCGUAUGGCAGAUACAUAAGUCAGCUCCAGAUCGACUGCAAGAACAAACCAGCAAUCCUGAGAGGAUCCACAGACUCUCUGAAGGAAGCAGACUGCUCCUGCAGGACCCAGGAGACCCCCAAAUACUAUCCUGUGCAUGUCCACGGAGCGUUUCUGAUCCAGCUCCCCGUUUUUAAUAAGGAACUCUUCAACAAGAAAUAAACUC
rnacentral:lncRNA from 10 species